AUAUUGCUUUUCUUUUGGUCUAGGCUGAUAGAAAUAGUGUGAAAUUGAAUAAUGCAUUCUACAAACUCCUGAAUUAGAACUUUUACUAUAAACUGGGAAAAUCCAAGUCUAUAAAAAAUUUCAGAAAUUUAAAGCUAGUAGUCAAUCAGGAAGGGGUUAGAGGUUGCUAUUAUAAAUUAAGUACUUUCAUAAAGGGAAAAGGAAAAUGUAAUUUUAUGAUGUAUUAGGCAGGAUGUCAUAAUAGGUAAGGCAUUAUUAGUAUUGUAAAGGAUGUGCUUUUUCAUGAGUUCCUGGUGUAUUAUGUGUGGUUCUAGUCAUAUAUUCAAAGAAGAUACUAAAAUGAAGUCUAAAGAUCAGGAAGAAACUAUGGUAAUUGGGGCAUGGAAAAUGUGUCUACAGAAGAGAGAUUAAAAAAAAAAAAAGAAUACAUAGCCAAAUAGAUAUUGAAAGGACAUAUGAGUCCUUACAAAUUCAUUUUCAGUUAAAUGCUAAAAGAAAACCUCAAAAACCUAAACAAAACAGAAUGUAUUUGAACUGAAGAGGGAUGUUGACAUGCCAUCAAAUGCAUAUGUGUUGGUUUUAAAACCUAGGAAAGGGAAGAAGUUUACAGUCUGUCUGGGACUGGAAAGGUCUUCCAAAUAGGUAAUCAGGCCAACAAAGUUUUUUUUUUAAAUAGAACUUGAAAAAAAAAACCUUUGUAAUUGAAUGGGACAGUUCGUGUUAGAAAAGGUACAUUUGUGGCAAGUUGGAAAGGAAAGGGCUUUUUGAAGAAGUUGGAAUAUGUUUUUUCUACACUUACACUGUAUCUCUUCUCUGCCUGAGGGCUUACUGCAGGCUCUCAGGUCAGGUAGGAUGUUUUCUCCCUUUAUUGUAUAAUUUAGGUUCUGAGUUAUGUUAAUUUCUUUCUUUCUUUUGUUCUGCUUUGUAUAGGGGACAUGUAUCUCCUAGAACAUUCUGCAGAGAAGUUCUCACAUAUUUCCUCCUGUUGAGGGGGUCUCCACAGACCAUUGGCAGUGCCCUUUAUUCUCUUCUUCCUCCCUUUUUUCUUUUUUCCCGAGGAAGAUUUGAGGUUUGGCUUUUGUUCUUUACUGCAAAUUAAAGAAUUAAAGGUUUUGAAUCAGUGGGUAGUACCAUCUGGACCAAAAGUUCUGUAGAUCUGGUUUUUUUUCAACUAAAUAUUAAGUGUAUUGUAACUCUCAAUUGUGAGAAUGUAGAAAUGUAGAUAGUCCUUUUCAGCAAUAUGCUUCUGUUACUACUUAUGAAAAUCAAAUUCAUCUCAGUUCCAUUACCUCAAAAAUACUAGCUAAAUUUCCAGCAUUUUCAGUAGGACAUGGCAUGGAUUAAGUGGCAUACUGCAAAAAAAAUCUCUGAAAUUUCCUAAACUAUUCUGUCAUUAUACAAUUGCUCUGACUUUUCAGUUUCUCUUAUCUCCUUGCUAUGCUUAGGAUUAUCAAAUAAUUAAACUUAUUUCAUGUCAAAUAUGUCUAAUGUAAGGUACCUAAUCUAUCCAUAAUAACUGAAAUAAAGGAUUUUGUUUUCUUCUGUAUAUGAGCACUUCCUCUGGGAUAGCUUCUUAGUUUUUCUGGUGGAAGUUGUAGAGUAGGAAAAGAGGUUUAUUUAUAUCCUUGCAUAGAGGGGUAACCUUAAGAUAUAAAUCUAUUAGGCUGUUAUUUUCUUUAUGCUUUGAUUUUGUUACACUAAGAAAAACAUAUUUACCAGGAGGAACUCGGAGAAAUAUCAGAUGUUUUCUGCCUUAAUGCUUAAAACACUCAAGAGAAGGAGCAGGCUUAAAAUUUCUACACCACAUUAGUUAGCAAAAAUUCAAACAUGAUUAGUGUACUCUCCCUCAAACACAGAACCUGACCUGUCCCACCCUUGUUCACUUUGGAGAAGUUGAGCAUCCCAUGAGAAUUUCUAAUGAUCUGUUCCUCACAAGUGACAAAACCAGGGAAAGUCAGAAAUUGAAAAUUGGGGAUUAUGUGGAAAUUAGGCUUCCAAGUGAUUCAGUAAUAUUAAUAUCAUUCCUGAUGUCUUUGAAAAAGAUUGCUGCAAGACAUACAGCAAGAAAUGUUGAUCCUUGAGGCACAUGAAUGUGCCCAGCAAGAACUUCAUCAGUCUUAAUGGUUUCUGAAUACUUUAUCUAGGCUCUGUAAAUGAUAGAUUAUUUUGCAAUGUUAUAGGAAAUAUUCUUCAUUCAUUCAGCUGGUAUCAGCAGGAAAUCCAAGCAUAUUAAUGAAUAAUUAAUGGAAAUGAAGCAGUUGGAACAGGUGAAUGUUUGGCAAUAAACUAUUAAAGAAACCUGGGAUCAACAGGAAUUAAAGUAAAAAGCAGAAUACCAACCCAAGAACCUGCACAAUGGGUAAAUUCACACUGUUUUUCUGCAACAAUGGUAACAAAAU